rnacentral:rRNA from 1 species
UACGAGGGGGGCAAGCGUUGUUCGGAAUUAUUGGGCGUAAAGGGCGCGUAGGCGGUCAGCACAAGUCAGUUGUGAAAUCUCCGGGCUUAACUCGGAAAGGUCAACUGAUACUGUGCGACUAGAGUGCAGAAGGGGCAACUGGAAUUCUCGGUGUAGCGGUGAAAUGCGUAGAUAUCGAGAGGAACACCUGCGGCGAAGGCGGGUUGCUGGGCUGACACUGACGCUGAUGCGCGAAAGCCAGGGGAGCGAACGGG